AAUAAAUUGGAGAAAAUUUAAUAUCACUCUUACCUGGAUUCUCAUGUGUUUCUCUUUAAGUGAGAGGGAAGGAAGUUGAGUUACAGAUGGUUAACUCCCACUUGUAUGUCCCGUGCUGGUGAAGUAAUACCAGGUGUACAUCAACUGUUAUGGGAAUGAGGUGGAAACAAGGUAAGAAUCACCAGACUGAGGAUGUUAUGCAUGGAGGAUGUUGCAACUCUCAUGAAUGUUGCUCUCAAAUCUCUUCUCCUUUGGCUCCUAGGGUCUUUGAAUAGAGGUGGGGGGAGCAAACCUCUGCUAAAGUAGACACAGAGAUCAGAAGCAACGAAGUCAAAGCUGCUUCCCACCAAGCUGUGUGGUCCCAGGCAUCAAUAAAUGUCCACAGGACAAAAGCAGUGCCAACUGUGGGGCUCACCUUCCUGGAUUCCUGU
rnacentral:lncRNA from 1 species